rnacentral:rRNA from 1 species
AUCUAGCCAUGGGCAGGUUGAAGGUUGGGUAACACUAACUGGAGGACCGAACCGACUAAUGUUGAAAAAUUAGCGGAUGACCUGUGGCUGGGGGUGAAAGGCCAAUCAAACCGGGAGAUAGCUGGUUCUCCCCGAAAGCUAUUUAGGUAGCGCCUCGUGAAUUCAUCUCCGGGGGUAGAGCACUGUUUCGGCUAGGGGGCCAUCCCGGCUUACCAACCCGAUGCAAACUGCGAAUACCGGAGAAUGUUAUCACGGGAGACACACGGCGGGUGCUAACGUCCGUCGUGAAGAGGGAAACAACCCAGACCGCCAGCUAAGGUCCCAAAGUCAUGGUUAAGUGGGAAACGAUGUGGGAAGGCCCAGACAGCCAGG